rnacentral:rRNA from 1 species
AUUGAACGCUGGCGGCAUGCUUUACACAUGCAAGUCGAACGGUAACAGGCCUUCGGGUGCUGACGAGUGGCGAACGGGUGAGUAAUGCAUCGGAACGUGCCCAGAGGUGGGGGAUAACGCAGCGAAAGCUGUGCUAAUACCGCAUGUGAUCUGAGGAUGAAAGCGGGGGACCAGGCAGCAAUGUUUGGCCUCGCGCCUUUGGAGCGGCCGAUGUCAGAUUAGGUAGUUGGUGGGGUAAAGGCCUACCAAGCCGACGAUCUGUAGCUGGUCUGAGAGGACGACCAGCCACACUGGGACUGAGCCACGGCCCAGACUCCUACGGGAGGCAGCAGUGUGGAAUUUUGGACAAUGGGCGCAAGCCUGAUCCAGCAAUGCCGCGUGCGGGAAGAAGGCCUUCGGGUUGUAAACCGCUUUUGUACGGAACGAAAAGGCUCUGGCUAAUACCUGGGGCUGAUGACGGUACCGUAAGAAUAAGCACCGGCUAACUACGUG